UGGGGAAUAUUGGGCAAUGGGCGCAAGCCUGACCCAGCGACGCCGCGUGAGGGAAGAAGGUCUUCGGAUUGUAAACCUUUGUUGACAGGGACGAUAAUGACGGUACCUGUCGAGGAAGCCACGGCUAACUACGUGCCAGCAGCCGCGGUAAUUCGUAGGUGGCGAGCGUUAUCCGGAUUUACUGGGUGUAAAGGGUGUGUAGGCGGGAAGAUAAGUCAGAUGUGAAAUGCAUGGGCUCAACUCAUGCACUGCGUCUAAACUGUUUUUCUUGAGUGUCGGAGAGGUAAGUGGAAUUCCCGGUGUAGCGGUGAAAUGCGUAGAUAUCAGGAGGAACACCGGUGGCGAAGGCGGCUUACUGGACGACAACUGACGCUGAGACACGAAAGUGUGGGGAGCAAACAGG
rnacentral:rRNA from 2 species